rnacentral:rRNA from 1 species
ACGGGUGAGUAACGCGUGAGUAACCUGCCCUGGAGUGGGGUACAACAGUUGGAAACGACUGCUAAUACCGCAUAAGCCCACGGCCCGGCAUCGGGCUGCGGGAAAAGGAUUUAUUCGCUUCAGGAUGGACUCGCGUCCAAUUAGCUAGUUGGUGAGGUAACGGCCCACCAGGGCGACGAUUGGUAGCCGGACUGAGAGGUUGAACGGCCACAUUGGGACUGAGACACGGCCCAGACUCCUACGGGAGGCAGCAGUGGGGGAUAUUGCACAAUGGGGGAAACCCUGAUGCAGCGACGCCGCGUGGAGGAAGAAGGUUUUCGGAUUGUAAACUCCUGUCGUUAGGGACGAUAAUGACGGUACCUAACAAGAAAGCACCGGCUAACUACGUGCCAGCAGCCGCGGUAAAACGUAGGGUGCAAGCGUUGUCCGGAAUUACUGGGUGUAAAGGGAGCGCAGGCGGACCGGCAAGUUGGAAGUGAAAACUAUGGGCUCAACCCAUAAAUUGCUUUCAAAACUGCUGGCCUUGAGUAGUGCAGAGGUAGGUGGAAUUCCCGGUGUAGCGGUGGAAUGCGUAGAUAUCGGGAGGAACACCAGUGGCGAAGGCGACCUACUGGGCACCAACUGACGCUGAGGCUCAAAGCAUGGGUAGCAAACAGGAUUAGAUACCCUGGUGGU